UAUUCCUUGGGAUGGAUCUGAAGAUAUUGAUGAAGCUGAUGCACAUCACGAGCAUGAUGAUGACAAUGGUGAUAAUGAUGCUGCUCAUGACAAUCGUUCAUUCACAAUUAUCAUACGACAGUCUUAUACUACUCGUUUGCCAGUGCCUGCUAAGUUCCACAAACAUGUUACUAAGAAGCCUGAUACCGCUAACCUGAGUCUUCCCAGUGGGAGGAGAACUUGGCCUAUUUCAUUGAAAUAUGAGGUUUCAACAGAAAGAGUCAGAUUCCAGUCCGGUUGGAGCAAGUUUGUACGAGACAAUCAUUUGAAAGUUGGAGAUGCGUGUGAGUUUGUGUUGACUGAUGAAACUAGACUUUCAUUUGAAGUUCAUAUAGAAGCUGCUAAAUGCACCUUGCCAGAUGAUGAUGAAGCUGAAGAUGAGGGUGAUGACAGUGACAGUGAUUGUGAUGAUGAUGGUGAUUGUGAUGAUGAAUAUCCAUUAGCACCACGACUUCACAAAAGAAAGAGAUCAAGUUCAAGUACCAAAAGCAACAUCGAAGAUGUAGAUGGUUCCACUAGUAAUAAACAAUUCUUGAAACGAAGACUUGCAUGAUGUUCGAAGGAGCAUGAG